rnacentral:lncRNA from 1 species
AAUUCGAUCCUAAUUCAGUAGGGGAGUGUUACUCUCGAAAUAUUUGCCUAUAAAAUGGUCCAUUUGAACCAUUAUCGGAAAUUCACAACGAUUGACGGUAAUAUCUAACCUCGACGAAAUAGACAAAAUCUAGCAAAAAUAGAUAGAGAAUAAUGACAGAACUUACGCAAUAUCCUUGUAAUCAAAGCAACAAACCCACAGAACGCCUAAUUAAAUUAAGAAGAAAAAGAAACAAAAAGAAAAGAAGAACCAUAGAGAGGAAAUGGAAGAACGAG